rfam:Gossypium raimondii chromosome 7, whole genome shotgun sequence.
UUAGCGGCGCUUUUUAGCGCCACUAAAAGUAAGCGCCACAAAAAA